ensembl:lncRNA
CUUGUCCCCAUCUCUGUUUGUUACCAUACCUGAAAUACAUGUACCCAUACCUUAAACAAAAGCGCUGCUUUGCACUCUAGUUGCAAUUCUGCAACACACUUACUCCUUUAUGCAACACACUUGGUCCUGCAUACUGCACUCUAUUUCAUACAUAAGACACUUCGUUCAAAAAUGAAAUCUCAGGGUGCCAUUUGGAAAACACAUGUAUCCAAAAUACAAAACACAUCAGGUAAUUGCAACCACUCAAAUACGCACCUGAAGGCACUUACUUGCAAAACUGAACACCAAUCAGCCAGCUACUAAAAGCCCUCAGUUUAGCCAUUUCAAAAACUUUGCAAGCAUGGAUGGAGGGAGAGCAAGAGGCAGAGGUAGAGCAAGAGGAGGAGGACACGGUCAAGGUCGAAGGGCCCAUGCACGGACCCUAUGACAUAAGAGCAACUUUGGUGGACCAUGUCAUCAACCAUGGCCUGACUAUGAGGGAAGCUGGGCAGAGAGUCCACCCACAUCUAAGCCGCUUCACAGUGGCAUCCAUAAUAAGGACAUUCCGACUGGAAAACAGAAUGACUAGAAGACCUUCUGGGGGAGGACGCCAAAGCCUGUUCACACAACAGCAGGAACUUGCCGUUGUGGACCUAGUGAGGGCAGACAAUGCCAUCCGUCUCCAGCUAUGACAGAAAAUACUUGCAGACAGGCAAGUGUUCAACAACAUAAACCAUGUGAGCAUCACCACCAUCAGACGCAUCUUGGGAAAACACAACAUCACCAUGAAGCAGCUCUACAGGGUCUCAUUUGAGAGGAACAGUGUCUGGGUCAAAGGACUUGUAGCUGAAUAUGUACGGAGAAUCUUGGCCAUGGAUGGAGCUGCACAGCCUCAUGGAUUCAUUUACAUUGAUGAAGCUGGAUUCGACCUGAGCAAAACAAGAUGACGGGGUCGUAAUGUAAUUGGCCACAGGGCAAUUGUGCACGUCCCGGGGCAGCGCGGGGGUAAUAUCACAUUGUGUGGCGCCAUAAGCCUUUGAGGGCUUCUGCAUCAUCAUGCAAAACUAGGUCCAUACAAUAGCCAACAUAUACUCACAUUUCUAGAUGCUCUCCAUAAUAUGGUUGUACAGAACAGACCAGAUCAGCCCAGGUUUGUGGUGGUAUGGGAUAAUGUCAGUGAAAAUAUGCAUUCUGAAUAAACACUGAAAAUCAAAGACCGCAGUGUUUUAUAUAAAGUAGACUAGUGUGUUCCCCCUGAUCUGAAAGUGUAUGCAUAUGAUGCAAGUAUGUGUCAUUUUGUCAUCAGAGUUACAUUUUGACAAAGGAAUGUUAGGUUUUGAUAGCAGAGUUUAGGUUUUGAUAGCAGAGUUUAGGUUUUGAUAGUAGAGUAGAGUUCAAAUUUGACACAGAUGUGAAUGGUAUAUUUGCCAGUGUUGUGUCAUGUGCACUGUUCGGGUUUGGAGGUUAGUAAUGUAAUUGUGUUGCCUUGUUCUUAUCAUGUUCUAGCGACUCCUUGUGGCAUCUUGGGUACUUGUGAGCUAAAUCAAGCUAGAAGUCUCAAAGAAUUAUGUUAUAGACAGAACCUUUGUUAUUACAAGCAAUCAUCCUCGAGAUGUUUGUAGAAAUGUAUUAAAGUCCAACUGCAGCAAAUUCAAUAUAUUGGACAUGGAUUAGAAAGACAU